rnacentral:lncRNA from 1 species
AUUUCACAUAAUCACCUCCAUGAGCAGGAUAAUGAUAUUUAAUUUUAUUUGUAAGUUAUCCUUAUAUUUCACACUUGAAACUUUGUACAUCACUUUGUCUCCAUCUUAUUUUUACCUGGCCCAUCCUACAUCCUGUUUGUAAUUUCAAAUUAUAAGACUUAGAAUGACAGAACUCUAUGUUAUUUAUUUCCUUGGUGACUCUAUUCAUUUUUAAAAAAUGUUUUCUUCUUCGUGGUCUUUGUUUUUUAAAUAUAUGUUAUAAACCCCACCUUAUAGUGUUGUUAUACUUUGCUUUAAAUAUCUGAUAUUUAGGAGGAUUCUCAUGUCAUUCACCAAUUUAUUUACCAUUUUUGAUGUUAUUUAUUUCUUCCUAUAGUCAUUUGAUAAAGUUUUUCUUGGGUUUUUAGGAGCAUCCUCUAGGUUUUUUUUUUUUUUUUCUGUUUGUUUUUAAGUACUACUGAUCAAUAGGCACACAUUCUGCUUUUAAUUGUUUAAAAGAUUAAAUGACUCAUAUGAAUUGUACAUAUUUAUGGGGCACAUUGUUAAAUUUAUACAGUGUGUCAUGAUUAGGUCAGAAUAGUUUGUACUCCUUUCACUCAAACAUUUUAUCAGGUGUUUUGUUUUGUUUCGUUUUGUUUGGGAAUAUUCAAAGUCUUCUCUGUUAGAGCUGUUUGAAAUGUACAAUUCAAUAUUAUUAGUCAGAGUUACCUUAAUAUGCUAUAGAAUAUCAGAGGUUAUUCUUCCUAUUUAGGCUCACUCAUGUUACUAUUCCACUUAACAUCAUUCUUCUUACCCUCUUCAGUCUCUGGCAAAUGAUACUCUCUCUUCUGCUUUUAUGAGAUCAACUUUUUAAGCUUUCACAUGUGAAAAUACAUACUGUUUAUAUUUAUUUUCUGUCCUAUACUUGUACAUGUUGGGGGUCAAAGGAUAAUUUGAAGGAGUCUGUUCUCUCUUAUCAUGUGGGUCCUGGCAUUGAACUCAGGUGGCCAGGCUUGGCUACAAAUACCUUUCUCUUCUGACCCAUCUUGGCUGUCCUCAAAUUUUAUUUUAUUUUAUUUUAUUUUAUUUUAUUUUAUUUUAUUUUAUUUUAUUUUUGGUAUGUGGUAUGAGAUAGGAGUUAACUUUCAUUCUUCUGAGUAUGAUGUUCCGGGUUCCUCAGUAUUAAUUAUUGGUCCUUUUCCUCUGUUUGUUGUUGGUGUCUUCAGUUGUUCGUAGGUUGUCUCUAAGUAUGUGGAUUAUUUCUGCUGUGUUCUGUCUACUGGUCUGCAUUUUAGUUUUGUGCUAGAGCUAUUUUGUCAGCUUUGGGUUUGCUGAAAAUGUUUGUAUUUAUUUUUAUGUUUUAAUGUUUUUAUUCCAGCUUUUAAAGGCUGUUAUUGCUACAUGUAAAAUUCUAAAGUGAGCCUUGCCAUAGCACUUUAAAGAUACUGUUCUAUUUAGGCUUGAUUCUUUUGUACUUGAGGUAUCUUUUCUACCCUAUCACUAUUUUAUACCAUUAUUUGGCUACUACUAAUAUCUUCAUUUUUUUGGAAUCUAUUAGUUUUGACUAGAGAUACUAGAGAAAUUGGUGUCUCCUUGGAGUUCUUAGUCUAAUUAGUAAAAGAAUUAAAGAAUGGAUUCAAAUAGAAGCUUGAGGACAAUUUUAAUACUAGUUUCAAACAAAAUUUCCCAGGGCAGAUAAGUUGAUAAUCUCAGCAGUUUGGGGCAGGAGGGAAGAAGAGAAAUAGCAAUGCUAUUUAAUCUAUCAUGGAAGGUAGAUACAUGGCAGACAUAUGGCUCGCAAAAAGCCUUUAGAGAAAGGGUAAGAAAGCUCAAAGCAUC